UUUUUGGAGUUUUUCCCUCUCCCUAACCUCUCCAAUUGCUCGCCGGAGUUCGCGAAUUCCGGCGACCUCUCACCGUGUGUAUAGGAAGCAAUCUACCACCACAACUUGUGCAAGUGGUUCAACUCAUCGUCCUCUACACCGUCCCGCGCGCAUCCUUCACAGAAGGACACUGGAGCCGCCUUCUUCCUUGUCUCCGGCGACAAGUCCGGUGAGCACCCAGACAGCCAAUCACAGAGCGCCACUUGUCCCUGGCCGAUUUUUUUUCUUUUUGAGGAACCUUUUCCAAAUUCAGAUUCUUUACCUAAUCUUCUUUCUAGUAUAUCUUUUAAUCUAUAGAUCCGAUUUAGUUGAUUCGUUUUCCUACUAGUUCAUAAAAAUAUCCUCUAUCCAGAGAACCAAACGAAAAAUAUUUUUGAAAAUUUUAAAAUUUGAAUUCAAACAGAUCUGUAUUCAAACUUCGUUAGGCCGUAACUCGAGUUUCGUAACUCCGUUUUAGGUGAUUCUUUUUGUAAAUCGAAGCUCGUAACAUGUACUUUCUAUUAAAACCAAAAUCAUUUAUUUUUGUUACUGUAAAAAUUACGUUCUGUACAGGAACUUUAUUUCGUUAUUUUUGGAGUUUUCCGAAGUCUUUUAUUUGUUUUCUUUUUGGAUCUUUGCUUGUAUGCUUAUGUAUGUUAUUGCUUGCUUACGCUAGAUCAUCCGGAGUGCGAAGCUUGCUACUACGAAUCUUUAGAGUUCAACGGUCGUCAACAAGGCAAGUUCACACUUUGAUCAUAAUUUUCAAUACUCAGUUUUUACUUUGCAUUAGUUUCACCCUCAAAGACUACAUGAUUAGGAUUGGGAAGAUGUGGUUAUGCUAUGUAGUUCAUGUGGUAGGAACCUAUGACCUUUUGAUCACCCCGGGAAUUUUCGUUAUGUCAUAUAUUGCUUAGCCAUGCUCGUAGACGGGGAUUGAUAUGUGUGAUCCAUGCAAGUUGCAAGAGAUGAUAAUUUUGGGACAACAUAAGGUGGCAACUUUAAUACCCAUCUGGGUGGAUUGUUUGGGGCACCUGGAGAAACCAGUGCUUGCCCAAGGGGAAUCCGGGAGUACCGUGUGAUUACCCUAGGUCCGCCACCCAGGCUCAAAGGGGUCAUAAGAUAUUUCAUGCCUAGAAACUUUCGUGUGCAGCCACAAGCCAUUAUGGGCUGUGGCAUAGUUGAGUAAGUUGUGUGACCUCUUUCCGUGGUAGACUAGCUGAUGUAGGGGAAAGUAGGUGUACCGGUCUACCUAGGGUUAAGGGCAAACGCUUCUGAAAGGCUAUGUCUCGAUCUUCCGAUCAUGGAGGUGGUCGAGUCUUGUGGGGAAAAGUGCACAAACCUCUGCAGAGUGUACAAACUAAUCAUGAUUAGCCGUGUCCCCGGUUAUGGACAACUUGAGUAUCUAGAAGUGAAUUAUUGGUUGAUCUCAUCACUCUAUUUAAUGAAAUUACUGGGUUACUAAUAACUUGGGAAUUUUGGGAUUGAGUUGGAGGAACCUUCUCAAUAAUGGCAUUUUAAUUUAGUAGUAAGUAAAAAUUUAUUCCUUUGUUGUAGGGUAAAAUUGGCUUUAUGCAAAAAUUAAACUUAGAGCCUCCACCAGCUAAAUUUGCAUAUAGAGAUAGUUUUUUAUUAUUAUUAUUCUAUAGUGUGAAAUUGCCAGCAUAUUCCAUGUGCUGACCUACACGGCUGCAACGUCUCAUGUUGCAGACUUUUCCGACGAGGAUUAAAGGUGCGAUAGGUCGUUGUUCUGCACUCAGUUUGCCGUGGAGUUGGAUGGACUCAUUUACCUUCGAUGCUUCCGCAGUUAUUUUAUUUUAGAUGGCCUUUGGCCAUAUUAUUGUAAUAAAUACUCUUUUGAGGAUCUCGAUGUAAUAAAGUGUGUGAUUGAACUCUGUUAUAAUUCCUCGAGUACUGUGUGUGUCAGCAUACCGAUCCAGGGAUGACACGUAAGCACAGAGACUACGAUCCAUUUGGGUCGGGUCGCUACAU
rnacentral:lncRNA from 1 species